CCUACGGGAGGCUGCAGUGGGGAAUAUUGGACAAUGGGGGAAACCCUGAUCCAGCGACGCCGCGUGAGUGAAGAAGUAUUUCGGUACGUAAAGCUCUAUCAGCAGGGAAGAAAAUGACGGUACCUGACUAAGAAGCCCCGGCUAACUACGUGCCAGCAGCCGCGGUAAUACGUAGGGGGCAAGCGUUAUCCGGAUUUACUGGGUGUAAAGGGAGCGUAGACGGCAGCGCAAGUCUGGAGUGAAAUGCCUGGGCCCAACCCCGGAACUGCUCUGGAAACUGUGAAGCUGGAGUGCAGGAGAGGUAAGCGGAAUUCCUGGUGUAGCGGUGAAAUGCGUAGAUAUCAGGAGGAACACCGGCGGCGAAGGCGGCUUACUGGACUGUAACUGACGUUGAGGCUCGAAGGCGUGGGUAGCAAACAGGAUUAGAUACCCCAGUAGUC
rnacentral:rRNA from 1 species